rnacentral:rRNA from 1 species
UACGUAGGGUGCGAGCGUUGUCCGGAAUUACUGGGCGUAAAGAGCUCGUAGGUGGUUUGUCGCGUUGUCCGUGAAAACUCACAGCUCAACUGUGGGCGUGCGGGCGAUACGGGCAGACUAGAGUACUGCAGGGGAGACUGGAAUUCCUGGUGUAGCGGUGGAAUGCGCAGAUAUCAGGAGGAACACCGGUGGCGAAGGCGGGUCUCUGGGCAGUAACUGACGCUGAGGAGCGAAAGCGUGGGGAGCGAACAGG